UAGGGAAUCUUCCGCAAUGGACGCAAGUCUGACGGAGCAACGCCGCGUGAGUGAAGAAGGAUUUCGGUUCGUAAAACUCUGUUGUUAGAGAAGAACAGCGCAUAGAGUAACUGUUAUGCGUGUGACGGUAUCUAACCAGAAAGCCACGGCUAACUACGUGCCAGCAGCCGCGGUAAUACGUAGGUCCCGAGCGUUGUCCGGAAUUAUUGGGCGUAAAGCGCGCGUAGGCGGUUUUUUAAGUCUGAUGUGAAAGCCCACGGCUCAACCGUGGAGGGUCAUUGGAAACUGGAAAACUUGAGUGCAGAAGAGGAAAGUGGAAUUCCAUGUGUAGCGGUGAAAUGCGCAGAGUUAUGGAGGAACACCAGUGGCGAAGGCGACUUUCUGGUCUGUAACUGACGCUGAUGUGCGAAAGCGUGGGGAUCAAACAGG
rnacentral:rRNA from 1 species